rnacentral:lncRNA from 1 species
GGGUCACACUUGGGUUCAUCUUCAUGAGGUGUAAUGGCGCCGGGAUGCGCUCUCCUCUUCUCAUUUGCCAAUUUAUUGCAGAUCCCUCCUCAAAAAAGUUUUGGGACUAACUCAGCCCCAUGGAGAUCAAGGUGAAUUAGAAAAACAACAAAACAAAACAAGAUUCAUUUUAACAUCUCAUUUUUCUAUCUCCAACUUUCCCUCCCCUCCUCCCACCCCAGGAAGAAAAGACUACGUUUGUUUCUGGUGAUACAUUCAUUGUAGGUGGGUGGGUGACUUCUAGAAGAGGAAAAUCAAGAAGAUUUGGAGAAGGAGUCUUGGAAGCUCUGGUGAAGUUUUCCAAAACUGGGAAGGACAGAGCCACAGGUCUGCCUGUUCUUUUGCUUUGCCAUUUGUGUGGAUACCUAGUAGAGCAAUUUGGGUGCCAUUCUUUGAGGAAUCCAUUGGAUCUGUCAGAAAGCUGAGUCUGCUCAGCCUGUGUUAGUGGAGAAGAGGGAAGGAAACUGGCUGGAGGCCGCUGGACCCACAGAGGACAAUAGACAAUCUCCUGCUGAUGCCCACUGGAUCCAAAGAGAGAAACUCUAUAGAAUUAUGAUCUAGGUUUGACUGACUCCUGGCAAGAAGCCCUACCCGCCAGCCAAUUUGGAUGAGCUCUUAUGCUCCAGAUCCAUCAUGAGAAGAACAUGCCCUGGAUUCCUGCUAUCCCUUUAGCCAUGGCUCCAAAAUUAACACACACAAGGAAGACCUGAGGUCAAUCCACAGCCUGGAUUCAAGUCACCUAAUACAUAGGAGAAUCAGAGCUACCCAGCCACACUCAAUCUACGUUAACUGAACCUCAGCUGACCUGCAGAUUUAUGAGUAUGAGAAUAAAGGCUUGUUAAUGUAUAUCA